CGCACAAGGGUCUCCCCUCUGCACUGAGCCCGCAACCCAUCUACAAUCUUCCUGCAAUGCACUUGUGGGUCAUGACCCACUGUUUGGUAAACACUGCUCUAAGAAACUUCAUGUCCAGUCUUCCCUCCCUCUAAUUCCUCCUUGAUGGCAGCUCACUACAACAAAGUGACCGCUAGCCUCGCCCUUGGAAAUCACAAAGAAUUUGGAAGGGAGUUUGUCUACCUUGAAGACCCCCCCCACCAAGCAGUGGUAUGGAAGAAGCAAUCUAGGUAGCUUCCCCCUGUGAGGCCAACUGACAUUCCCUAAAGACAUUAGGAGCUGAAUGGAGAAAGAAAUCUCCCCUCUGGAAGAUGGCAUCAGAGUUACCUCUGCACAGCACCAAAACAUGGAAUAUCAAACCACUGAAGCUAGUAAGAGUUUUGCCAUUGACAUAACAGAGUGGAACCAGCCCCCCUCCGCAUUUGGGAGCCAGGUGAAUACUUUCACCUGAACCAGGAAGCAGACCCACAAGGGCCUGACAUCUGCUACCAUUCACAGAGGGUCCACGACAACAAGGUUUCCCAGAUGUGGUGUUAAUAUUUCCAGCCCAGUGGAAAGCCAAUUUUUUCCAGCAUUCAGG